rnacentral:sRNA from 1 species
AGAUUCAGUAACUUCUUUCAAAUGUUGUCCAUUUCUUGGCCCCCCAACACACGCACACACUCUCGAGACGCCAAUAUUGCUAGACCCAAUAUAUGAAACGGGGAUGGUGAUAGUUAUGUUCCUUCUUUCUUCCUUUUAGUGUUUUGUUUCUCGGAUACACAUCAAGAUGGACAAAACCCUGCCAUUAUUUCCGUGGGCUCCUAUCGCAUGAUCUCUUCGUAGAUAAGAACUUUCAGCUGCUCCUUGCUAAGGGAGUCUUUAUUCUUGUCAAAAUCAAAGAAUUCUUCGGGGAUCGGAUCAGCUGUCGGUUCAUCCUCUGGAUCGUGAUACGGCUCCAGGUAAGGAUGGCGCAAAGCUUCUUCGACACUGAUUCGUUUUACUGGGUUGAAUGCAAGGAGUUUCUCGAGCAGGUCCAAGGCCAGAUCGGAGGUCUUGGGGAAGAGGGCCUUCAGGGGUAUCUUCUUUUUAAAAGGGAGGGAUCGGAUAUAUUCCCGAGCACGACGCGAUUUGAUGCCAUAAUAGUCUUCCAUGGUUGGUGUCCCCAAGACAUCCAGGAUGAGGGUAAGUUGAUGGUGAUAAUCCUUGCCGGGGAACAACGGCUUCCCGCUCAACAUUUCCGCCAAUAUGCAACCAACACUCCACACAUCAAUAGCCUUGGUGUACUCUUUGAAGGUCAACAUGAUUUCCGGUGCACGGUACCAACGAGUGGCCACAUAUUCUGUCAUAAACCCAGAGUUGUCGUCCGUGGAAGCGGCAGAACGGGCUAGACCGAAGUCGCAAACUUUCAGGUCGCAAUUUGCGUUUAAGAGUAAGUUCGAGGGUUUCAAGUCACGAUGAAGAACAUUUGCAGAGUGCAUAGCUUUCAGGGCUCGCAGGGUCUGAUAGAUAAAGUAUUGGCAAUGGUCGUCGGAAAGGUCCUGGGUGCGAAUCACGCGGUGCAUAUCUGUCUCCAUGAGUUCCUGAAUGAGGUACACCUCAGUGAAGCUUUCGUAGCUACGGGGCUUCUGGAUGUCUAGAAUCGAGAUGAUGUUUUCAUGAUUGAAGUAUCGAAGGAGCUUCAUCUCGCGCAGCGUGCGCAGGCAAAACAUGGAAUGAUCGAAUGGUGUGAUCUUCUUUAUGGCGACCUUCUGGCUCGAGGGUUUAUGAAGCGCAGAGCAGACAACUCCAUAUGCGCCCUCCCCAAUCACAUCCUGUAUAUCGUACUGGUCGGAAACAUUGAACGAUAUCUUCCUUGACCCUCCUUGAGAAGUUGAUGGCUGGACCAUGGUGAUGGUGCUAGAUCCCGAGGAACUUGCUCACAGAGUAAACACUGAACCUCUGUUGAUUCUCAGUUCUUCUAGAGCAGUAAUGGUGAUUCCCUAUUUGCAAUUAUCAAGCUCAAUGUUCUGAUAGCGAUUUUUUUCUUUUUCUUCUUUUUUUUUGGUGCGUAUGUUGCAGGUGUGAAUAGGAUAUCAAACAGGAGAGAUUCCUGACAGGAUGUGAUAUAUUUCGGAAGGAUGGAUUAUUGGGCUUCUGCUGGCGUCAAAUAAUUGGUGAAACCGUUUUGCUAUGGUAUGUAACCUGAAUCGAACGAUGGUCACUGGUUAUAUGGGAUAUAUAGGGUCAAGCUUGGGAUCUACCGUGGGGGAAAAUUGCGGGGUUGGGAGUCCGUGAAAAGGAAUCGAGAGAGGGGAAAAGCCAGACGGUGAAGAGGAAGGCCUGGUUUGUGUUGCUCCGACUGGAAUAGAUAUUCCCCGUAAUAUUGCAAGAGAAAUACCUGACUGGGCCAGUCUUGGAAGGGAAAAUAGAUUGAAUAACCAGACAAGCGUACUCUGUCGUUGGGAGCGAUAUUCUGGCCUUGUCACAAGUAUUUCUCCCCAGUCUGAGCUAUUGUACGGAGGCUGAUGAUGACGAUGCGGUCUGGAAGAGGUCGCAUAAAUAUGCAGUUAAACAAGCCCCUCUUCCUCCAGGAAGCCAAUCCGGAUCUAGAUUCCAAGUCCAAGUCCGAGAACAAUAAGAAGAGGCAAAGGGAAAAUCAUCAAACACCACGGGAGAUGAUGAUAUGCUCCCCGGCGGCGGGCAGGCGGGCGGUUAGCGGUGGUGGGGCAGCAUCACAGCCAGACACCAUCUGUGCACACCACCUACCACCCACCACACAGCACACAGCACACAGGACUAUCCCAAACCGCACCAGCCCCAAUCCAGUCCUCAAUAGACUGCGCCGUUGGAUCGGGAGGAACAGAGCACCUGCAGGCUGCGGCACGCGAAUAAUCGUACCGAACCAUGCCUGAUCACACCCGUUCGUUACCUUGCUCUUUCUUGCUCUCCCCCCACCCACAAAAAAAAAAAGAAAAAAAAAUCUACUCCGUACAUCCUGCCCAAAUCAAACUGCUGUCAUUCCAUUCGAUUCGUGGAUCACCCGUAGGUCUAGCUGGCGAUUGGCAACAAUGGCAGAUUCCCAAGGCCAGUGGAGGGAGAGGGGCAUGAGUCAAUCGAGAACCUCAUUAAACAGGAUAAAUCGGCGUACUAUUCUAGUGAAGUUCCCCACCAAAUAUCACCUUGUCAGACAAUUAUUAUAACAUUUAGAUCAACAGGGUCUUAUCUCCCCGGCGAUCUAAAAUAUCGUCCAGACUUCCCAUAUGCAACAAGGACAGAAGCGAGAGAGGAAUUCUGAACCAAGCUGCUGGUUUUAGCCGCCCAGUUAUUCAAUCUACUUAUUUCUAUUUCUCAAUCUCUAAAGGCCGGAGCUUCUGAAGUGGAGAGAAGAGAAAGAAGAGGCUGGUGAAAAUACUUCGAUACUUCUCAUACCUCUCUAACCAUGCAACGCCGCCGAGUGCUCAAGGAAGGAGAAGUAUUCCAACGGACUUUCCCUUUUUCUUUGCUCAAGCUUCUUUUAGUGAACGCCAUGGAUAUUAAUUAACGUGUGUUUCAACUUACUGCUAAGCCCUUCAGAAUCUAGUCCACCGAGAUUUCGCAGCGACCCUGGACCAUCUGGAUUCUUAUUUUCUUAUUUCUGAGAAGAGAGCUGGUGUAGUUUCAAAGGAUUUCACUGUAUCACUGUGUGUAUUGCAGCUCCUGAUCAGCCCCAUCGUUGAAUCAUCUCUUUUUUUCAUUCAUUACCCCAUUAUCUCACUUCAAUGUGAUAAGUAUAUGUCGAAACAUUGAUCUUAUAUACGCCACUCAAAGAUAUAUGUGAACAAAUAACAGGUGCCUCCAAAUUGAUUUUGCCCAUUGAUUGAUUAUAAACGUAUUUGGCUAGCCUUCCUUGUGUUCUAGGGAUUUAUCUAUUUACCAUGUUAUAAGCAAAUAAAUAAAAUCAAAAUGAAGUAAAAACAAAGA